GACGAACGCUGGCGGCGUGCCUAAUACAUGCAAGUCGACCUUAGUGGCGAACUGGUGAGUAACACGUGGGUAACCUGCCCCUCAGGAGGGGAUCACACUUUGAAACAGGUGCUAAUACCGUAUACUGAUGGAUGGACCCGCGGUGCCUUAGCAAGUUGGUGAGGUAACGGCGAACCAAGGCCACGAUGCAUAACCGACCUGAGAGGGUGAUCGGCCAAAUUGGAACUGAGACACGGCCCAAACGCCUACGGGAGGCAGCAGUAGGGAAUAUUCGGCAAUGGACGAAAGUCUGACCGAGCAACGCCGCGUGAGUGAAGAAGGUUGUCGGAUCGUAAAACUCUGUUGUUAGAGAAGCGGUAUCUAACCAGAAAGCCACGGCUAACUUCGUGCCAGCAGCCGCGGUAAUAC
rnacentral:rRNA from 1 species